GACGAACGCUGGCGGCGUGCUUAACACAUGCAAGUCGAACGGAAAGGCCCUGCUUUUGUGGGGUGCUCGAGUGGCGAACGGGUGAGUAACACGUGAGUAACCUGCCCUUGACUUUGGGAUAACUUCAGGAAACUGGGGCUAAUACCGGAUAGGAGCUCCUGCUGCAUGGUGGGGGUCGGAAAGUUUCGGCGGUUGGGGAUGGACUCGCGGCUUAUCAGCUUGUUGGUGGGGUAGUGGCUUACCAAGGCUUUGACGGGUAGCCGGCCUGAGAGGGUGACCGGCCACAUUGGGACUGAGAUACGGCCCAGACUCCUACGGGAGGCAGCAGUGGGGAAUAUUGCACAAUGGGCGGAAGCCUGAUGCAGCAACGCCGCGUGCGGGAUGACGGCCUUCGGGUUGUAAACCGCUUUCGCCUGUGACGAAGCGUGAGUGACGGUAAUGUGUAAAGAAGCACCGGCUAACUACGUG
rnacentral:rRNA from 1 species